GGAAGCCCUAGGCAUUGUGUGGCGUAUUUGCAGACAGAAAGGUCUCAGGAUCGGCAGUCUCAAAACUUACUUGACUUAUUGUGUAAGGCUCGGGGAAGAAAUGCGGCGGUGCCCGGAUAGAAAUACCGCGCCGUGGCCAGGAGUUGAGAGGACGCUGGGCUCGGCCACAGUCUUCCCCUCCAGCCCACUCUUGACAGCCCUAGAUCAUUGUGCCUCCGGUGACUCGUAACGGUCGCGCUGUCCCCGCUAGAGUCAACUAGGGGAGGUGGAAGGGCACCUUCAUCUUGAACUUGACCCUAGGAGCAGCGCCGUCUGGGCAGGUUGCAAGGUAAAGGCAAGCUGAAUCUAACCGUGGAUGGGCCUCGAACUCUGGCACGGAAAGGAAGUGCCUUGUCCAGAAUCUUUGAGAAAGGGUUUAGGACUGCUGAGUUCACUAACUCUGGAAAUACCAGACCACCAGACUGCAGAAGUUGAUGUGUUUGGAGGGGGUGGGGACGGGAGAGGAAAGAGGAAACCUGGUUAGUUGGUACAGAAAGUUGGUAUUUCUCUGUAGUGAAAAUGAGGGGAGUCUGCAUCUCUGCUUUCACCAGAUCCGUUACUCUGGUUUUUUGUUUGUUUGUUUGUUUUUUCCUUCCUGGGUCAUCUUUAUUUCUGCCAGGCUGGCACUCCGGGAUGGGGGAGGGGAAGGAGAAGCAGCAGUUGUGAAGCUCCACUGGCCAGCUUGGAGGUAUUUUAGAUCUGCUACUAGGAAGAUUCCUGGAUUUUAACAGCUGCUUCUUGAUUGCUGGGAAUGAGAGAAUUUAUGAGUGACUGAGAGAUGGUCAUUAUGGUAGUAGUCUGAAUGUUUUACUCAUCUAAUCUACUUAAGGAUCUCAGGAGGGACCUUCUUGAGACAAUGCCAGCUUCUGCAGAGUUUGUCAGCCAGAAUGUUUGGUGGGUGUUAGAACUCAUGGUAAAUAUAUCCUGGUGGUACUGAGAUGAAAAGUAUGCAGCAGUAAAGGAAAUGUGGUAUCUGACAUCCUUCAGGACUUCCUCCUAGCCUUGCUCCUGUUACCUGCCAAGUGAACUUGGUCCAGGCUUCCGGACUGUUGUGAUUUGACAAUAAGGGAUGGGAAAUAGUGUCAUCCAUUUUAGUGGGGCAGGAAAGUCCAGAAAUAAAUGUAAGGUUACUUUUUCAUGACCCUGGCUUUCAGCUGUGAUGCCACAAAGUUAACUUUUGCUGGGACUUGGAAGCACUGUUUUUCCUGCUUUCCUGGUUUAACCACCAGAACGCCCAAAUCAUCAUAAUUUAUGUCCAUCGUGGAACUAAAGCAUAACUGAUUCAUAGUCAGCCCUUUUCUGCUUCCCAUAAGAGCCUGUAGAAAAAAGAACAUUUUGUCUCUUUCACCACACUCAAUUUAUUUGGUACCAUAGUGGGUUUUUGAUACUGGGUGAUUGAGGGCACAAUUUUAAAGACAAUGAAAUUGUCUCCAUUAAAUUGGCCUUUUUUAGGCAACAGCCCCUUCAGAGUUGCUGAUUAAUUCUUUAUCUCCCAGGGAACAUUAAAACCAGUAUCUCUGGCCUGGUAUAACUAUAAUCCAUAUUAUAAUGAUGCCUGUCAGCUUAGCUGGAGGUUAUAAUGUUAUGUCAAUGUUUCUUCUAGCCAUUUCUAACCCAAAUGUAAAGUUUUUGUCUAGGUUGGGGUAAAAGUUGUCUGUGAGCCUCACACUAAGAGAAAUGGCUUUAUUUUUAUCUUUCUGAUGGAAAGUUUAGUUUAACUUGUUAUAGGAGUAAAGUUUACAAAGGCAAAAUGAAGCAGAGGAUGUGUGUGUGUGUGUGUGUGUGUGUGUGUGUUGCUGGGAGAGAUUUUGUUAAAAAAAUUUUUAAGUUUAUUUAUUUUGAGAAAGAGACAGGGGAGGAGCAGAGAGAGAGGAGAGAGAAUCCUAAGCAGGCUCCGCACUGUCAGUCGGAACCUGAUGCAGGGCUUGAACUCAUGAACUGGGAGACCAUGACUGAGCUGCUAUCAAGAGUUGGACAUUUAACUGACUGAGCCACCCAGGCACCCCUGUUUGAUUGUCUUUUAAAUGUGUUUUUCAGUGGAGGAAAAUUAGAACCUCCUCCCAACCAGUUUACAAAAGUGUUUUUGUACAAGGCUCUAACACCUUCCUGGGCCUUGAUUUUCUCAUCAUUAUCAUUUCUAAAAUGGGAUUCUCUUUCAGCCCUAAAGUUUUCCAAGAGUUUGAGAAAUAUAGGCAUUCUGGAACCUGUGCUGUAAUAUUAGCACAGCGUUUUGGGAUUUACAAAGGGCUUUACUUAAAUAAUUUUAACCCUUAAUUCUCAAGUUAGGAAAUUGAGGCUGAGCAAGUUAGAUCAGUUUGCUAGAUGUCAUCUACAAACGGUGGAGUUGAACUUGAACUUAGGUUCUCGGAUUCUCCCCCUCCUCUCCACCCCUUUUGUUUAGGGAGACACCUGAGAAUUGGCCAAAACUUGACAAACAGACUAAUGUUAAUAUGUGGCAGUUUCUCACAGUAUUUCAUUUAUAGGUUAUUCUGGUUUCAGAACUCCAGGGUUAACAUCUAUGCUUUGAUGUCAGAGAUUAAAAACAGACCAGUAAUAAUGGUAAUAAAACUUUCUCCCCAAGAGAGUUUCAGAAAUUCACAUACCUCAAAUUAAUCAUUUGUUUAUUUUCAACUUUUCUUUUAUUAAGUAGGCUUCAGGGUCUAGUGUGAUUUAUAAUCCAGACUAGUAACCCAGACAGCAUUCUUAAGGAAGUCAAUCCUCAAAUCUGUAUGUCUUUUUUUAAAAUAAGAAAUGAAUGUAUCAUUUGCUUUUCAUCUUGGUAUCUCUCAGCGGAAUAAUAUAGCCUGGAUAUAAAUGUCCCUUUUUUGGUGUCAUCGUUUUUGGGCUCUUUCUACUGAUGUCUGGAUAAGUCUAAUUUUGCAGCUCUUUUUGUGCUACAUAAAUUCUUCCCUUAUGCCGUUGGUUUAAUGGUAAAGAAGUAAGUAGUAGGAUGCAGGUGACCCAUUUUCACCGUGACUCUAAAUGUUUGUACUGUGUCUUGCUUGCCUGUUUAAGAGCACUGAGUGCAACUUGACACUCAUCUGGAAGCUGGUAUGGAUUUUCUUUAAAAGGUUCUAAAAUAAAAUUAUGUGCUAAGCUAUAGGCCCUUUUAUGUCUGAGCAGCCUGUCCAUCUUUAGCUUUUUAAACUUAUUCUCCGAAGACUGCCUCUUCAGAAAGUUAAGCAGUGGGGUUUAAACCUCAAAAAAGAGUGUGUACCAAUAAGUAUCGAUUGCCUGACUGUAAAGGCUGCCAUUUCUGUGUGUGUGAGCAGAGAGAGCAUUAUGAACCCGUAUUUGCUAGUGAAGUUGGGAGACUUUGUUAUCAGUGUACUAGAAGGGGACAAGAACAGCAAAGCAGAAGAAUAGCUUCUGGUUUUUCAUUAUCAGGAGACUGGGUUUUGAAUGAUAGGGGAAGACUUUUGAUAAAGAAGGCUAUCAGGAAAUAUCUUGUGGAGAGUGAAAAGGGUUCUGGUUUGGCUAGGCUGCAGUAUUGAUGGGGUUUGCUCUUCUACAGUAGACGUUGUCUUUAAGGGCUCUGGCAGGUGUGUGUAAUCAAGAAGAAUAUUCUGGAAAGAAGAGUCCCAUAGGCAAGAAUGUCAAGGACUAAAAGAGUGUUGUAGAAGGAUGGCAUGGUCCCUGGAUUUUAGCACAGAUAUUUGCCACUACUGUGAAGGAAUUCAUUAGUAAAAAUCUUCUGGCCACAGUUGUAUGUAGAUGUGAACCCAGUAUGUUCAGUUGUAUAGCCCAGAGCCACAGUGACUCACCACCUUUCCUGCCCCACCCCAGCACACCGAGGGUUACUUGCGUAUCAUGAACAGUGGCUUAUUACCUCUGUAAGUCCAGGUGGGGGUAGGGCAGUCUCUAAGAAACACUUGGUUAUAUUCUUUUCAUGCAUACCUACUCAUACAAACAGGGUCCUUUAUUACAUGUGCUUUUGAAGAGAUGUGAAAAAGAUUUGACAUACAAGGGUACAUAUAUCUGCACAGUUUAGAGUACAGUAUAUACUUGUAUAAUGUGCUUUUUUUCCCCCUGUCAUAUCAGUAAAUUCUUUGGCACUGUUUUAAUGGCUAUUUGGUAAAUCCAUUACCUACAUUACCAUAAUUUAUUUAGCCAGUCCAUUUGGACGUUUAGGUGUGUUGAAAAGAAAUAUCUCUUAGGCAUUAAGAGCCCUUUGGCUCAGAUCUGAUUUACUCAUUAAAUUAUAGGGUCCAGCACACUGCCCCACAUAGGGGCACCUGGCUGCUGGUAGCUUCAGAACCUCCCAUCAUCAAGAAAGUGACUCUUUGCUCUUAGUUCCAAUUUGGGAAAACCCUGGAGAGAACUCAGAUUGGCCUGAUGCCAGCCAAAGGAGAGUUACGCUCGGCAGUCUCCAUUUAGACCCACAAGAUGGGACUGUGGGGAGACAAAGUGUCCCACAAAGAAGGAGGUUAUUGUUAAUGGAAGAGGGAGGGAACCGGCUAAACAAAAAGAGCUAGCUGUUUAAUGUAGGAUAUGUUUCCAAAAGUGGUAUUGCUGGUCAUAACAACAUACCAAUGUGUCAGAGGGUAAGAACAUUUUUAAUGCUCCUGUGAUAUACACUCCGCAGUCUGAGACUUUUCCACAUUCUGUGGAGAUUUGAAUUGCUGCAUAUACAGGCACUCGUGUAACAGGAUAGUGAAUUACUGCAAAAAAGUCGGGAAUUGGUUAUUAUUAUCAUGUAUCCCAUUAUACUCCCCUCUCUUUGCCAUGCUUUAUUCUAAAUUACUUGGGGGGUGAGUAACAUCAAUUAUUAAUGUUUAUCGAGUGCUUGCUUACACUGAACUAGAUGUUUGAAUUUAAAAAAAUCUGUGGCAAUGAAACAGUAUAGUUUUUUCUUCCCCCAUUAUCCUGCAUGCAGAGUGUUAUACCAGGGAUGGCUAAACCACAGCACUCCCCAUCCUGGUCUCCUUUCCUUCCUAUAGUUUAAACCAACUACUGUUUAGUUGGUUGGGAUUCAGAAGUUGGAGCUGGGCUCAGCUGGGUGGUUUUUCCACCUGGGCCUAGGCUCACUCAUGCCCUGGUGGUUACAUGAUUCUUUACGAGGGCCACUGCUAUAAUAAUUUCCACAUUACUUGGUAUCAUAAUCUUGCUUUUGAUUAGUUUUCCAUUGGCCAUUCACUUCAAGGUAAGUUGGAUGUGUCCUUUGCCUGAGGGAGUGAAUCUUGAUUUAAGUCAAGUCAACUUUAGUAAUAUACCUGUUGCCAGUGACUGGUUAAUGAAUACUUAUGUGACACCUUUUGGGUACCACCAUAUUAGGAACCAAAGGUGGUCAGCAAAAUAGAACAGGUUGAUACUGUGAGGAUCACAGAGUUCAAGGAUAGAUGGUGCCUAAGAACACAGUGACCUUUUUCAGCUGCUGAAUUUACUAACCCUAAAACCACUGUGACUCAGAACUUCUUAUGUGAGCAUUAUUUUUUAUUAUUGUUAUUGUUUGAGGCAGUUAUCUCCAAGUAGAGUGUGCUAGAUCAUGCAGUAUGGAAAGGAAGAAAAUAUUAGAACUUUAUCCAGAAAAGAAAAAGCUUUACUAAUAUUUAAUAGAUGGAUUGACACUGUUUGCCAUAUCUGAAAGUCUCCUGUUACUUAGGUUACAUGAGGGACGAGUUGGCAUUUUACAACCUGGUGGAAUUGCCAGUGGUACUCUCAUUCUUGCCUUUGGUGUACUUUAUCUGUGUAAAUGGGUUUAUGGAUUAUAUUAUCUAUUUUUAAGUAAAUCGACUCCCACAGAAUGGGCAAGUGGCUUAAAAAGAUUCUUGCAAAGAAAGUUUAAUGAUAAUAAUCUGAGGCUAUAGGAAUAAGAAAAUGUCUUAUUGUGAGAUUAAGAAAUGACUUUUAAAGUUUACUUAUUUAUUUUUGAGAGAGAGACAGAUGGAGUGGUGAAGGGGCAGAGGUAGAGAGAGGGAGGGAGGAAGAAAGAAUCCCAAGCAGGCUCUGAUGCUGGGCUUGAACUCAUGGUGAGAUCAUGACCUGAGCCAAAAUCAAGAGUCCGAUGCUUAACUGACUGAGCCACUCAAGUGCCCUGGAAAUGACUUUUAAAUCAGAUUAGUAAAUUGGUACAAAAAUUGUGCAUGAAUUUGUAUUAAUAAAAAUAAACUUGCAAAUGCUAUUUGAAUCAUUCUCAUCUUUUAAAAAGUUUUUAAUAGAUGUUUUAUAAUGUACAUACUACAUACACCUGUAAUUCAUAAGUCUAGUGUUUUAAUUAUGCAUAAAUUACAUGCAACUUAUAACAUGUUGGGGGUACAUGUUUAAAUUUUUUUUACUUUUAGGGCUGCAUGAUCCAAAAAGUUUUGAGACCAUGUUUUCGUGCCACUUGUAGUUAUGUAAUUUUUGUUACUUGUAGCUGAAGGCACAACCCAUUCAAGGUCAGGUGAGAGACAUGGCUGUUCCCUUUUUAUUCAUAGCUUUCAAGAUUCUCCAUGAUCUGGCUCAUAACUUUCUUUUCCAGACCCAGUUGUCUUCUCUGUAAAUGACAUUUCAGCUAGGGGCCCAUUCCAUAACUGUCAUAUACUUUCUAUAAAUUUUGCCUCUGGGGAGGCUAUUCUCCCCCCCUCCCCCCACUACAUUUUCAUUGUCCUUCAAGAACUAGCUCAAGUAAAUACUGCUUCCUUAUUAAUAUUUUUCUGAUCUCCCCCGUCUGCAUUUACAUGGUUGCUUCUAUUUAGUCCCUAGCACAUUACUUGAACAAUUACAAUGUUUUGUUUUUUUUCUUUUUGCCUUUUAUUAUUAAGUUGUUGGCCUGCUUACUUUGCCUAUGGGUUAUAGCUUCUUGAUGGUUGGAGUCCUGUCUUGCCUGAGUCAGCUUUUUAAAUUGCUUGUUUCCCUUUCCGGGGAGAAAAGGGAGGCAGGUGGAGAACCCAGUUACUGUGGGGAGCUUCUCUCUCCUCCACUUCUCAACAGGCUUAGGAGGUUGAGUUCUCCGUAUACAUGUAAGGGAUCUGAGGGUAAGGAAUGCACACGGCCAAGACAGGAGGAUCCAGGGUCCAAACCCAGGACAUUUUUAUUCCAGAGGUUUUUUGUCUGCCCUCUCAUGUGUUGUGCACAGUUAAACAUUGUUCUUCUUUCAUGUGGAAACACUGACAUGGGUAAAAAUGGGGAGGUCGGUGGGCUGAUGCUGUAGAAACCUCCCUGGACAAUCCUAGGCAGGUGCAGUCAGUUCAAAGGAGAGUCCGCUCUCCUGUGGAGUAAAGACAAGGCCUGGAGCAUGGGUUGUGUGACAACCUAAAUGCCUGUGGACAGUUAGCUGUCUGCAAGUAGCACCAAACAAAAUCAUGGGGGAACUCCCACAGUAGGAUUUGGCCUGAGUGUCCCCUUUGAGAAGCUGGAGGUGAUGGCCUCUCCGUGGUUCAGCUGAGUCAGAUUGCAUAUGCCGUUAUUCUCUCUGUGGUAAGGAUAAUUGAAGGUUGACAAGUUGUCGGCUUUCAAGUUGAGCCAUGUUAGAUAUAUGCUAUCAUGAUGGAAAACAGACAUCUCUCCAGGGUUUUGAGGGUCAAAUGACAGAAUGCGUAUGAAAGGCUUUUGAACAUUGUAAAUUGCCUCCUAGAUGCAAGGGAUACAUCAAAUUUUAUUGUUUCCUUAUAGCAGUGACUUCUAGCUCAGAUUUCUGUGUUAGCAAUUUUUGUCUUCUUUUAAGUGUACUUCCAAAGACUUUUUAAGUGUGGAGGCUCUUAAAUGGAAUGGGACACGUUUUUUUCUUAAAUGAACUGCAGAUAUUAGUUGAAAGCUUGCUUUUAAACUUUUGGCCGUGGAGUAGUAGAUAGAAUUUGUGGUAAGGUGAAUCUGUCUAGGGAUCUGGUUGUUCAAGUACUCAAAAGAUCAUUUAUAAGAAUGGGACCACGUCUGGUGCAGAAAGAUGGGAAUCUGGAGGACUUUGAGGUAAAUUGUUAGAAGCCCUUAGGAACUACCUGAAAGACUGUCAGAGAGUUUUGAUUUCAGGUUUUGUUUUGUUUGGUUUUGGUUUGGUUUGUGUUUUGUUACUGUGAAACUACUAACUUAUUUUGAGGAGUCAUUGGAGAGGGUUUGAGGAGCCUUUGAAAUAUCUCAGGGCAGGGACACCUUGGUGGCUCAGUUGCUUAAGUGGCUGACUCUUGAUUUUGGCUCAUGUCAUGAUCUCAUGUUUAUGAGAUCGAACCUCAUGUUGGGCUCUGUGCUGACAGCAAGAAGCCUGGUUGGGAUAUUUCUCUCUCUCUCUCUCUCUCUCUCUCUCUGCCCCUCCCCCACCAUGCACUGUCACUCACUCUCAAAAUAAAUAAUAAAAACUUAAAAGAAAAAAAGAAAUAUCUCAGGGACAUUUUGAAAGUGAAAAAAACUAGGUGUGGUUUGACAACUUAUGAAUUUGAAAUCUCUUCCAUUGUAGAUUUCAAAAGGAAAUAGAUUUGAAUAAGUAAAAUUUAACUCCACUUGAGGGAAAUUUUGUAGUGGCAAUUUUGUGUUGUAGAAAGAGUUUGAUUUAGGGGCGACUUGGUGGCUCAGUAGGUUAAGUGUCAGACUUUGGCUCAGGUCGUAAUCUCACGGUUUGUGAAUUUGAGCCCUACAUUGGGCUUUCUGCUGUCAAUGUAAAGCCUGCUUUGGAUCCUCUGUCUCCUCCUCUCUCUGCUCCUCCCCCACUCACAUUUUCUCUUGCUCUCCCUCCCUCUCAAAAAUAAAUAAACACUAAAAAAAUCAGAGUUUGAUUUAGAAAUGAAAACAUGCUAACUUAAAGAGUCCACAUGUACUUAUUUAUGGAUGCAAAAGAGAGAGAAAGCGAGAGGCUUUUAAGUUGCAAAUAAAAUUGUGAAUUAUUUAUUAUUUAUUUACUAUUAUUAUUUUAUUAUUGGAGUAUGUGAGUUUUUUAAUUAUUCAGGGUUCUUAGAACAUGCAUGUGACUUAAGAGAGCCUUACCUCAGAGUGAUUUAGCUAGAUAAAGCAGCAAUUCCCAAAGGAGUUUCCAAGGAAAAUGCAAUUCUUAGGAAAUUAGUAGAUGUUAUGCACUGAAAAAAGGUUCUAUGUUCAAAUAAGUGGGAAGAUUGGGGUUAACCAAAGUAAAAUAGGUAUUUUUGUUUUUUUCCCCUAACAUUUAUUUACUCAUUUGAGAGAGAGAGAGAGAGAGAGAGAGAGAGAGAACUCGAGCGGAGGAGGGGCGGAGAGAGAGGGAGAAAGAAUCCCAGGCAGGCUCCAUGCUAUCAGUGCAGAGGCCACAGUGGGGCUCGAUCUCACCAACUCUGAGAUCAUGACCUGAGCCAAAAUCAAGAGUCUGAUGGUUAAUUGACUGAGCUACCAAGGGCCUUGGUAAUUUUCUUUUUAGCUGCAGGACUUUUGAGCACCAUUAUUUUUAAUAUUUAUUGUAAAUCUCCUUGGAGGGAACCAGAGUUUUAAGCAUUUCCCAAAUGCAUUGAGUUGUAGAAACUUUUUUUGCAAAGCAUCUUUGCCAGAGAACAAUUUUGGGUUGUUUGAUAUGGUCAAAUAGCUUUAAACCAAAUCCCAGACAUCAUUUAAUUUCACCUGACAAACUUUGGUAUGCAUUUCUAACUAAGGACUUAAAAAAAAACAACCCACCACCUUGUUAUCACUUUUCAUAAAAUUAACAGUGAUUUCUUAGUGUCAGUUUUUUUUUAAGUUUAUUUAUUUUGAGAGAAAGCAAGAGUGAGCGGGGGAGGAGCACAGAGAGAGGGAGAGAGAAUCCAGAGCAGACUCCACACCGUCAGUGCAGAGCUUAGUGUGGGGCUGGAACCCACGAAUCGUGAGAUCGUGACCUGAGCUGAAAUCAAGAGCCAGAUAAAGUUUACAUAUAGCACUGUGUGUUUUUGUUGAUUUGGCCUGUUGGUCUUUUUUUUUUUUUUUUUUUAAGUUUAUUUAUUUUUAUUUUGAGAGAGAGAGAGCAAGCACAAUCAUAGGAGCAGGAAAUCCUUGGGCAGAGAAUCCCAAGCAGGCUCCGUGCUGUCAGUGUGCAGCCCAAUGUAGAGCUGGAUCUCAUGAACAUAAGAUUAUGACCUGAGCUGAAACCAAGAGUUGGGCGCUAACCAGCUGAGCCAUCUAGGUGCCCCCACCUUUAGUCUUUUUUAAAUGUAGAAAAAUGCUAUUUCACUACCCCCUCCCUUUCCCUCCUGACUUUUAGAAGAUAACUUGUAGGACGUCCUAUAUCUGAAUUUGUUUCCUUGUGGUGUUGUGUACCUUGUCCUUUGCCCUCUGUAUUUCUUAUAAAUUCGAGGUUAGAUUUCAAGGCAUGGUUUAAAUUUAGGUUAAAUAUUUUGGGCAAGAACAGGUCCUAAACUAUGCUUUUCUCCUCCCUAUGAUUUGAGAACAGGCAUUUUAAUUUAGCAAUUCAUAAGUAGGUCAUAUAUAUAUAUAUAUGUACACAUACAUAUAUAUAUAUAUAAUGGCUUAGAGUUUGUUUGGAAAUUAAUUUUAUUAGUAUAACAAGUGGAUGCAAAUUUAAUUUAUUCCAGUUGUGGUUGGAAACGUGGUGGUAUUCUGAAUAGUUGGUCUGGUUAAAUGGAUAUAAGUUUUCAGUGUAUCUUAAGAUUAUAAACCAUGGGCCUAUUGGUUAAAAUGGCUUGAGUGUUAAACAUUUUGAUGGUUGGAUUUUAUUCAGAAUGACAAGGUAUCUGAGUUGUAAUUGUAAAACACUAUUCUAUAAAAAUUUAUUCUAAGCACAUUAAUUAAGAAUAUGCAUUAAUUCUACUUCUGUUGGAUAAAUCUUAACAAUAUCAUUCUGAUAAAUGCUUAUGCUAAUUUCAGGUACAGCCAUAAAUCUAAGGACACUCUCAGGGUAAUAAUUUUAUACAUACAUUGUCUUGGAAACUCGGACAUGUAAAUAAAAGUUCCUACUGUAGCUGACUUUGCUAACUUAAUUUGAUAUUUAAGUUUUUUCCCUUGAUAUCCUUCCAAGUGCUUGUAUGUCUGGGAAAAAUUAAAAUCAGAAAUUUUGUGUGUCUUAAUGAAGAAUAGUUUGGCAUAUAUAAAGUAACUUUGUGUGAAGAAUGAUAGCUAUCAUAGGUAGUUCCCGGCACAUUCUUGUGUUUAAUCCCUUAGAGGGUAGGAAUACUGUUGUAUAUAUUGAAAUUUGCUUGUUGUAAAUGAGGUACCUUGGACAGUAAGUACUUUGCAACUAUAGUAGUAUACUAAAAAUAGACACAUAGCACUCUCUUUUUUCUCCUCCUCUUUUAAAAAUACAAAUAAAUAGGGUAUAGUGAAAAAAGCAUGAUCUUUGAAGUCAGAUGAACUGUGGUUUUGUGUGUGAUUCUGGACAGUUUACUUGACCUCUGUCUCUUUGCCUGUAAAAUGGGGUAGUAAUCCUGUUUCAUAGGCUUCCUGCCAAGAUGCAGGUGAGAACCUAUAUAACACGCUUAGCACUGUGCUUGGCUUAUAGGUGCCGAAAACACGUCCUCUUCUUCCUUCUUUUCCUCUUAACCAUAUUUUUAAGCUCAGCAUUCUGGAUCAGUAAUUGAAUGGAAGUUUUUGCUUAUUCUGAGUAUUUUUAAAAUUGCUAAUUUUAAGGUACUUGUUAUAGAAGUCCAGAUAAGACACCAAUUUCAAGAUAAUCUUUAUAAGUUGGUUGGUUGUUUGUAUUAAAACAAUUAGAUGUUUAUAUGAAAUGUUUUCAGCAAACAAGUGGGAUAUUUUUAGGUGGUAAUCUAGGAGAAGGAACCAGAGAAAAAAUGAUAUUUUGUUGUUGGCAUGAAGCUGUGGCUAACAAACUGUCUGGUUUUAAUGAAAAUCAGUAUUUUAAAAAUCCAUUUAUUUACUAAGGUGUGUGAGAACACGAGAAGCUCUGCGAACUCGUGUAGACUGUUGUUUGAGUGUCGGGUAGAAUAACACGCUUUCUUUUACCCAGAUGAAGUAAGCCUGUAGCACCACACUCAAGUCAUCUGUGUGUGUUUAUGAACAGGGCUGUUGCCAAACCAGGAGAACAGCCUUCCUGCGGAGGAGAGGGGUCAGUGCUUCCCUGACUCCCUGAAGGGCCUCAGGAGCCUCACAGUGGGGAGGAGGAGAGAUUCUCCUUCCUGGCUUGUGCCUUGUUAAAGACUCACGUAAAGAGACAGUUAAUAUAUCUUAACUUUCAAAUGGAAAGUAGUCAAGGAACACGUUUUGGAGGCAGCAUAAAUAGACAUUUAUGGGGCUUGACUCCUUGGCAUUUUGGGUGAACCAAGAAGUGUUCUUUUCCAGUCAGCUGUUUCUGAGUCUUGGGACAUGUGACUUUGUUAAUGGCUUGUGCAAGAGCAGGUCCCAGGAAGACCAGUACUCACACUGUUCUCUGCCCAGGUGACACCUGUUCUCUGAGAAUGAACCGGAUUCCCCAAGGGCACACAGGUCCAGCGCAUUUGAACUUCUUACACUUUUUUUUCCUACCAUUAAGUAAGUUUUGUUUAUCCCUUCAUUUCUGAAAUGUUUUGCUUAAGUAAGAGGGACUCCUUAAGCUGUCCAGUUCCACAUACUGAAAGUCAAGCCAGGAAGAAUCAGAGAAUGUGAUUUCCCUCUCCCAUCAUGGCAAAAGGGAGGAGAUAUCAUUUCUAGAGGGAUAGUGAUUGAGCUCUAAGCAGAUGGAAUUUAUAAAGACAUUCAUCUACACAGCACUUUUUUGCUUCCUUCAUUAAGAGCAAUCUUAGCUCAAGGAAUAUAAUAUCCUUAUGAGUUUUAGAAGUAAAAAGUUACCAUGAAGGUGUUAACUGUUUGACAAAUCAGAAACUGUUUUCAUUUCGUGGAAGGCUUGCAAUAAUUUUUCCAACAAAUACUUUUUGAGGGCUGCCAUUGUGCCCUUCUGAGGUUGAAGCCCAGCUCUGUGCCUCAGUCUGAGGAGGCCAGUGCAUACAUAGUACAAAUAUUAGAAGGCAGGUGUGGAGCAGGAGAGUAGAGAAGGAAGGGGAGGGGGAGAAGGAGGAGGAAGCAGAUGAGGAGCUGGUGGCUGAGGAAGACUUCAGGGAGGGGGUGAAGGAUGCGUUGCACUUUGCCAACUGGGGAAGGGGGUGAGGGGCUCUCCGUGACGGGAGCAUGACCGGCAGAGGCAGGGAGGCGUGAAAAUACAAGUCAUGUUUGGAGUAUUGUUACUAGAACAGAUGGUGCUUGGCAUUUGGGUACAGUGGCAGGGAGGAGAGAGAGCCAGAUUGCAAAAGGCCUUGCAUGCUAGGCUAAGAAGUGUGGACUUGAUCCUGUAAAGCAAGUGAUAGCUGUCAAAGGUUUGAAAGCAGGGAGAUGAUGUAAUCAGAGCUGUGUGUUGGAGAAAAGCUCUGGUGGCGGUGGUAUGGAGGAGAGACUGGAUCGGGGACAGAUGGGCGGCAGGGCUCUCUGUUAGGAGGCUUUUGAAGUAGGUCAGGUGAGAGAUGAUGUUUGGGGCCUGCGUUAGUGGGGGAAGAGAACUAAUGUCAGUUCAGCACCUUUUGUUGUGCAUUUAGGAUGCAUUAGCUCAUUUCAUUGUUGCAGAACUCUGUUCACAGAGUCCUGUUGUCCUCACCCUCAUUUUGCAGACAAGGAAAGGGGCUCAGAGUAACCUGGCUCAGCCAAGGUUUGAACUCAGCUGGACAGUCCAGUGCCAUUGUGCUUUUACGACAGAGGGAAUGAGAACACAAAGAAGGGUGCUCAUGGGAGCUGCUUUGUGCAGCAGAGUGGAAGCUCCUUCCAGAAUAGAAAGGGCUGCUUGGCGGCUGACUAAAGGUAGAGGGCAAGGCUGUUUCCAGGCCCGGCAUCGAGGUGUGCACGAUCGUUGAUACCCCUCAGAGGCCUCUCUGAGGAGGGGAUGGACAGGGUUUGGGGCCCCUCUGGGAUACCCAUUUGGAAAUUCCCAGUAGCCAGUUGGAGAUUUGGUUCCUGAAGCCCUUCCCAGUCCUCCGGGUAGGCUUGGACUAGAACUUGUGUAGUGGGGGGGAUGGGUAAUGAGCCCUUCCUCCCAUAGACCCUAGUCCUAUAGUGUGUUGUAUUGCCCUUCUUCUGAAGGGCCCUUUCCAGGCCCUGCCUGUUGGUGUUUCAGUUAGUCUGGAGUGAGUUGGCAGUCUGCAUUUAUAGUAAGAUCCUGGGGUCCUGGAUUGAGCCAGACAGGUAACAAGAGCAUUAUACUGUUGAGAAUAUUUGGCUGUGUGUGGUCUAGGCUGUCUUUUAACUUCAUUUCUUUCAGGGGGGGUUUCGAUAGCACCUUAAUAUGAUGUUGAUCUCUAGUAAGAACCGACACCUUGGAAAAUUGCUUGUUUUUAGGAACUUAACAUUCAUAUUUAAUUUUGCCAAGGUCAUUUUUUAGUUAUUUAGUAUUUUGGAUUAAUGCUCAAAAGUAGCAAGCCCCCAAUAUUAGGUUUGGCUUGCCUUUUAAGUGGACUUUUGGCAAGAGAUUUCUAGGGAAAUUAGAUAAUGAGUAUUUUCCUUGCUUAUGAAAAAGAGGUUGGAAGAGGGAACCUGGCCAUGUGGAGAGUGAGGAAUAGUGCCUUGGGGCUCUUGGUUUGCCUGGGAAUGGCCUAGGUGGUCACAGAUCAGAAAGUCACUGAAUGGGGACCUAAUGUACAGCAUGGUGACUAUAAAAUUACAUAUUUGAAAAUUGUUAAGAGGGUGGAUCUUAAAUGUUAUCAAACAUGGUCAACCAACUGGUCAUUAGACCAUUUCUUUGUUAUUGGUCAUGACCCUGGCCUAAUCUCCUCCCUGUUUCCUCUCUUCACUGUGUCUUUUUUCUUUCUGUUGAGAUAUAGUUGAUAUACAAUAUUAUAUUCAUUUUGGGUAUACAACAUAAUGAUUCAAUAUUUGUAUACGUUGUGGAAUCAUUACCACAAUAAGUCUAGUUAGUUAACAUCCAUCACCAUAUAUAGCUACAAGUUUUUCCUUGUGAUGAGAACUUCUAAGAUCUAUUCUCUUAGUAACUUUCAGGUAUACAGUACAGUAUUGUGAACAAUAGUCACCAUGCCGUACAUUACAUCGCCAGGACUUAUUUAUUUUAUACCUGGAAGUUUGUACCUUUUGACCCCCUUUAAUUCACAUUGCCCAUCCCCUGAGUCGUGUGUUGGGGUGAGUGAAGGCUUUGAAGCCAAACAGACUGGGUUUGGGUCCCACCUCAGUGUGACCUGACUGUGAAUUAUCUCAGUGUGACCCUGGCAUGCUACCCAGCUUCCAUGACCUUGUUUUCUGUGACUUUGGAAUGUGAGUACUUCUGAAGGUUGUUUGGGAAAUGAGAGAUAUAAGGUCAAAACACCUAGGUCUAAACCCAGCCUUACUCCCUUAAUCUUGGGAGGGAGAGUCAGACCUGGGAAUGUGCUUUAUUUGUCACACGUUAAGCGCCUAAUUCUUCCACUCCGCAGUGUAUUGAGGGCUGAUUGCAGUGCAUUUCUUUACAACAUUACCUACUGUAUUCUACCUUUCCUAAAGAGGUAGGAGGCAUUUUUGUUUGGUUGUGGCUUAUAAUAGGAGAGAAAGGGUUUUUUGGUUUUUGUUUUCAACCUGUGUGCCUUUUGUAUUGGUGUAUGGUUACCCUUGGGAUAAUUCUUGUUGCUUUGUCUCACCUAAUGAGUAAGGUUUGGGUUCAUUAACUGCUUGCUGUUGAAGGUUCAUUUUUAUCAUGUGUGAGAAGGAGGAACAACUUCCUCUUGUGUCCCCACCUUUGCUAAAUGCCAUUAUACUUCCUGUGUUAGUUACAGGGCUUCCCCACCGCUUUUCCUUAUCCCUGUCCUGGUGCGGAGGACAGGAGGGGGUUGGCUUGUUCCCUGGUUGGUUUGUUCAUUCAUGGAAUAGGUGUCAGGCUCUGUGCUAAGUGGUUAUUCUUAGAUGGUCUGAUUUCAUACUCUCAAAGGCCGUAAGAAAGGAGCAGGCAUUCUUACUUUGCUCACCUUGCAGAUGAGGGUCCGUAUCUGACGGUAGGUUGCCUAGCAGGUUUAUAGGGCCCUGGUACCUGCUCCUGUAGUGCUGCCCUCUGUCUUGCCCCUCGCCCACUCCUGGGCCUUUCCAGGGGUGGCUCUGUCUGUGCAGGAUUGGUGAGCUUUUCAAUCCUUUACAGGUGCAGGCCCAAAGAUCACUUUUAGCAAGUGGUAUGAGGACUGUGGAUGCUGUGGAGUUGGGGGUGGGAAGAAAAACAUGUACUGUGACAGACAGUGCUCACUGGGAGAGCGAGCUGGUGGGAUUAAGCAGGGAUAUCGCGGCUGCUUAAGUCGGCUUGUCUUCUUUAUUUUGAAUGGCUCCCGAAAGACUGCCAGGGUGUGCUACGUACACAUUUGUGGAUGCUGUAGACAAGAUUUGCUUGUUCAUAACUUCCUUUUUGUUUUCUGCCGUUUAGUGCCAUUUGGCUGCCUUCUUUGGGGGGACUGUAGUGCCCUUGGAUUACCCACAACAGUUAUGAAGAUGUCCUGCCCUUCGGGACUGCAUAUUCCACCUCCUCACUGAACUUUCAGCAUCAGAUCUUGUGGCCGACAGCAUAAUGGAAAGAUCAAUGACUCUGGAAUAAAAUAGACUUGGCUUCAAAUUUCAGCCCUCUCUUAUUGCCUUUGGACAAGUUUAACUUCAGGGCCUUGGUUUCUUCAUCUGUAAACUGGGUAUCAUUGUGUUCAGGGAGAAAUAAUGUUUGUGCAGUACAUUUAAAGUAGGGCUUGGCACCUAACAGGUUUUAAGGAGCUUCCUUAUUCAUUCUAGCUUGAAUCAACAGUAUUAAAUAUAUUUAAUGUGCCAGAUAUUAUGUUAAACUCUGGCAGGCACAAGGAUUAAUAAAAUGGUUUCUUUCCUGGAGAAAUUUAAAAGCUAGUG
rnacentral:lncRNA from 1 species